CAUGCUUUUACAGUAUGAAAAUUGGUGAUUUAUAAUAACUUAGCAAAUCGCAAAGUGAAAACAGGCGAUAAAUCAUUCAAGUUUCUGACCUAUCAGCUUUCGACGGUAUGGUAUUGGCUUACCGUGGCAGUGACGGUUAACGGGGGAUUAGGGUUCGAUUCCGGAGAGGGAGCCUGAGAAACGGCUACCACAUCUAAGGAAGGCAGCAGGCGCGCAAAUUACCCAAUUCUAACAGUUUGAGAGAGGUAGUAACAAGAAAUAACAAUACAAGGCAGUUAAAAUGCUUUGUAAUUGGAAUGAUAGAAAUUUAAACCCUUUUUAAAGUAUCAAUUGGAGGGCAAGUCUGGUGCCAGCAGCCGCGGUAAUUCCAGCUCCAAUAGCGUAUAUUAAAAUUGUUGCAGUUAAAAAGCUCGUAGUUGAAGUUCUGCUAAAAGUAACCGGUCUGCUUUGAAUAAAAGUGGUAUCUUGGUAUGUAUUUAGCAAUGAUGUCCUUUGAAGUGUUUUUUACUUUAUUGUAAUAAAGCAUAUUCAGGACUUUUACUUUGAGAAAAUUAGAGUGUUUCUAGCAGGCCAACGCUUUAAAUACUGC
rnacentral:rRNA from 1 species